rnacentral:rRNA from 1 species
GAAUAUUGGUCAAUGGGCGCAAGCCUGAACCAGCCAUGCCGCGUGAAGGAUGACAGCGCUAUGCGUUGUAAACUUCUUUUAUACGGGAAGAAACUUCUCUACGUGUAGAGCUUUGACGGUACCUUACGAAUAAGCAUCGGCUAACUCCGUGCCAGCAGCCGCGGUAAUACGGAGGAUGCAAGCGUUAUCCGGAUUUAUUGGGUUUAAAGGGUGCGUACGCGGAAAAUUAAGUCAGUGAUGAAAUCCUGCAGCUCAACUGUAGAACUGUUAUUGAUACUGAUUUUCUUGAAUUUAGUUGAGGUAGGCGGAAUGUGUAAUGUAGCGGUGAAAUGCUUAGAUAUUACACAGAACACCGAUUGCGAAGGCAGCUUACUAAGCUAAAAUUGACGCUGAGGCACGAAAGCGUGGGGAGCGAACAGGAUUAGAUACCCUGGUAGUCCACGCCGUAAACGAUGAUUACUCGUUGUUGGCGAUACAUAGUCAGCGACUGAGCGAAAGCAUUAAGUAAUCCACCUGGGGAGUACGAUCGCAAGAUUGAAACUCAAAGGAGUUGAC